rnacentral:rRNA from 1 species
GACGAACGCUGGCGGCGUGCCUAAUACAUGCAAGUCGAGCGGAUCUUCAUUAGCUUGCUUUUGAAGAUCAGCGGCGGACGGGUGAGUAACACGUGGGCAACCUGCCUGUAAGACUGGGAUAACUUCGGGAAACCGGAGCUAAUACCGGAUAAUCCUUUYCCUCACAUGAGGGRAAGCUGAAAGACGGUUUCGGCUGUCACUUACAGAUGGGCCCGCGGCGCAUUAGCUAGUUGGUGAGGUAAYGGCUCACCAAGGCAACGAUGCGUAGCCGACCUGAGAGGGUGAUCGGCCACACUGGGACUGAGACACGGCCCAGACUCCUACGGGAGGCAGCAGUAGGGAAUCUUCCGCAAUGGACGAAAGUCUGACGGAGCAACGCCGCGUGAGCGAUGAAGGCCUUCGGGUCGUAAAGCUCUGUUGUCAGGGAAGAACAAGUACCGGAGUAACUGCCGGUACCUUGACGGUACCUGACCAGAAAGCCACGGCUAACUACGUGCCAGCAGCCGCGGUAAUACGUAGGUGGCAAGCGUUGUCCGGAAUUAUUGGGCGUAAAGCGCGCGCAGGCGGUUCCUUAAGUCUGAUGUGAAAGCCCCCGGCUCAACCGGGGAGGGUCAUUGGAAACUGGGGAACUUGAGUGCAGAAGAGGAGAGCGGAAUUCCACGUGUAGCGGUGAAAUGCGUAGAGAUGUGGAGGAACACCAGUGGCGAAGGCGGCUCUCUGGUCUGUAACUGACGCUGAGGCGCGAAAGCGUGGGGAGCGAACAGGAUUAGAUACCCUGGUAGUCCACGCCGUAAACGAUGAGUGCUAAGUGUUAGAGGGUUUCCGCCCUUUAGUGCUGCAGCAAACGCAUUAAGCACUCCGCCUGGGGAGUACGGCCGCAAGGCUGAAACUCAAAGGAAUUGACGGGGGCCCGCACAAGCGGUGGAGCAUGUGGUUUAAUUCGAAGCAACGCGAAGAACCUUACCAGGUCUUGACAUCCUCUGACAACCCUAGAGAUAGGGCUUUCCCCUUCGGGGGACAGAGUGACAGGUGGUGCAUGGUUGUCGUCAGCUCGUGUCGUGAGAUGUUGGGUUAAGUCCCGCAACGAGCGCAACCCUUGAUCUUAGUUGCCAGCAUUAAGUUGGGCACUCUAAGGUGACUGCCGGUGACAAAC